GUCCAACUGGCUUCAGAUGGUGUGUGUUAUGUGCGUGUGCCUGCCUCCUGAGUGUGUGAGACGAGCUGGGAUCAUGAGCCAGGGUUGUUCCAAGUGGUUUUAAUCAGCAGCCCAUUAGAGGAGAACGGAAAACUUCAAACAGGGUUGUUCCAGCAACUCCAUGGGAAGGUGUUCCCCAAACCUCUGCUUCUCUGGAACUCGUGACUUCUUGCCUGGCACCAGGAAAACACUCAGCAGCAGAAAUGGGAAAAUUUAUGCUAAUUUUGGGUAAAGUGUGCCUCUGACUUUUUUUUACUCUGGCAAGACGUGGCUACUUGGACUGCAUCUGCAAUGUGGCAAAGGGCAAAGUGAGGUUGGCAAAGAGGCCAUGGUUUGUGGGCAAGUCCCCAGAUGCCGCAGGCUUUGUCGCCCUCGUCCCUUCCUUCUGGCCUUAGUGGUGGCCCUCUGUCUGUUCUGCCAGACCCUGACGCCUCUCAUGACCAGCAACAUCCUUUCGGCAGUUGUUAAUGGGAUUGUACCCAACAAACUGACUAAAACACAGCAAGGAAGAUACAAGGAGGUCUCCUCAAGCACCAUGUACUGCUUCCUCCCUGGCAGCAAUUCAGAGACAGUGAAAAAGGCAUAGACAAUGCAUCAAUAUUUAUGGAAUUAUGUAAUAUUCUUGGAAUCUGAAACAACUGCCAAGGAACUGUUGUGCCCUCUUCAACUUGAAAUAUCUUCAGUAUUUUCUUCUUGGCCAAAACAAAAACAGUAAUUGUACAUCAUAAGAUUAGUUACUGACCAAAUUCUAGAGUUUUGGAACAACCCAGAAAUUCUGUACAAUAGAGGAAAGCUUCAGAGACUAGUAGAAUCAAUUAUAUCCUUAUACAUUCAUAACCUAGAACUGGAUAUACCAGUUUCAAGGGAAAUGUCAAAACAUUUUCUUUUUCAUAGAGUACUUCACAGCUCCCUGGAAGUUGCAGACAGACUGAACUAAGAAUUGCAAUUCUGAAAAUGGAUGUCUAUUUUCAGUUGCACAUGGAUGGUUACAUAAUUCUUCAGCUUUCAUAUUAUAUAAACUCGGCCUUUUAUCUUGUUUGUUGAGACAUCAAGGGAGUAUACAUUUGAU
rnacentral:lncRNA from 1 species